CUGUAGGGCAAUAUGCACUGCCUGCCCUGUCCUUUAUAGCCCUUGGCUACCUAAGCUCAUACUCAGUCUUGGCGCUGUAAAAAUGUAAGUAAAAUACUAUUUUAAUAUCUUUUUAUGCUGAACGGCAGGGUGGGUGACUACCAGACCCAUGGAUAAGAGCACUAAAGCAUUAGGAAUACACAUUUGCAUUCCUAAUGUUUUGGUGUUCCUUUCAAUACUAGUUUGUACAUGGAAUUAAUUCUAGUUCCUUGUCUGUAUUCACUAUGAUGCCCCGUUGCAGUAGGGUAAACAAUCAUUGUCUUGCGCUGGUAACUAUUUUUAAAAGGUUCGAUGCUUUUAAAUAUAUUUUUGAAUGAAUUAUCUGAACUUAAAAUGUUGCCAUUAUAACAUUAUAUUUCAUAAAACAUACAUAACUUUAUUAUUUAGAAUGGAUGCUCAUUUUGCACUUUUUGAAUCUGCAGAGUGUUUUAGAACAGGAGGAGUAAUCAGGAGAGAGGAAAUGUUGGAUGGAUUUCAAUUUCAGGAAGGGUGAUCAGAUUUCAUAUAGGAAGGGUGAGUGAGCAGUAGGGGUGGAAAAUAACAAACCACCAAGCUACAAUACAAUUAAAGGAACUAAACUGCUAUACUUUUUAUUUAUGUUUACUGAAACAUGAAGGUUACAUGGAUUAUAGCAUCUGUGCAUAUUUUUGCAAUUUACACAUAUAAGUAUAUAUUUAUUGUUAGUGCAUCUCCUGGCUUACCUUGGCUUUGUAUGGGACACUAUAGUCACCAAAUCAACCUUAGCUUAAGGAAGCAGUUUAGUGUAUAGAUUAUGCCUCUGAAGUCUCACUGCUCAGUUCUCUGCCAUUUAAAAAGUUAAAUAACUUUCUGUUCAUACCACCCUAGCCACAUCUCUAGCUGCAGCACUGGCAGUGACUCACACGCAUUACAAAAAAAUUAUUUAAUUUUCAAUCCGUUAACUUACUUUAGAUGUUUUUAUCUCCUGCUCUGUAAGUUGAACUUUAAUCACACACAGUAGGCUCCUGCAAGGUCUAGCAAGCCAAUAACAGAGCAGGGGGUAGGAAAUUCUAACUUAAACAGACGGUGCAAUAAAGGAAGCGUAAACAUUAGAUCUCUCUUCACAGAAAGUAUUUUGGAAGGCUGUGCAAGUCACAUGCAGGGAGAUGCGACUAUGACUGCAUAAACAAAGGGAUUUAACUACUAAAUACCAGAGAAUCGAGCAGUGAGACUGCAGAGGUCCCUUUACAGUUUCCCUUUAUGUCCACUUUGGCUAGAGGUAUCCGCUAUCUGCCAAGACAUGAGUUAAAACCAGCACAUUUUGGAAAUGUCUAGCAUUUCUGCAUGACAUCAUGGUUUUUGAAUAUGCACUAACAUUUACAGGGUUAUUCACUUCAGUGAGAAUUGUCAUGAAGUUAAAGUGAAUUUCACAUUUAAGGCCAGAGUAGACAAACUGAAAGUGUAGAUGACUUGGGUAAUUUUUCAGUUUGGUUAUUUUAGACUUACAUUUAAAAUUAUUAAUAAUUAAUUCCUGAAGGUUCUCAAAAAAGAAAAACCCUGGUAAUUAUUUGCAGGGGCUUUUGAACAUAAAUGUUGAUUCUGGUUCAAGAGGAUUUAAAGAUGGCUGCCUCUUUAGAGAAAUGAUAAGACAGGAAAUAAACUGAAAUGCAUUUAUGUGUAUUUAUUAUGAAAUAAUUCACACAGAGGAUAUAAUACAUGUAAGUUUUAUUUCAAAUAAUGUAAAAAUACAAAAAUGUUCCUUUAUAGGUGAAUUCUGAUAAACUUGCUUUUUAUGACUUUGAACAAUUCCAUAAAAUCAAAAAUUAGAGAAGCCUCUAUUACAGUGAUCUCAAAGAAACCAAGAGGGGUCAUUUUUAGCUGCCUGUAAAGUUUAAAGGGAUACAUCAAUGUUUUACAUCUCAGGGCUAAACACAAAACAUCAUUGAAAUGGAGGAACAGCAAUGUUUACGUUGCAGGGCUAAACACACCUCUAGUGGCUGUAACACUAACAUCCACUAGAUGGUGCUUCUUCAUUGAGAACUGAGUCAGACUUGAAACAUUACAUGACGACACCGAAAGUUCAAUCAAUGCUUUUCAUAGAGAGGCAUUUGAUUCAGAGCUUCUCUAUGAGAAGCAUUUGAUUGGAUGAGUGCAGUAGUUGCUGUGCAUGUGCUUCUAGUCUACAAGAAACAUUUAAUUGGACGAGAAAUUUAAAAGGAGAGAAGACAAAACAGAAGAUGGAGUGGGGGACUUCAUGGACUGAGUCUUGGUACUAGGAAGUAAAGGGUUAUUUAGAUUAAAUUUUUAAACAUAAAAGACUGGGUCUGGGUUUCACAAUUAAGCGAGUAAACAAAUUACAUUAAAAAAAAAUAUAUAUAUAUAUAUAUGGAAAUAUAUAUAAUUUUUAUAACAAUAGUAUCUUUGUUAAUGUUAAUGCAACCAAUAGUCAUCCUUUACAGAAUAUUUUGUUAUAUCAAAGUUAUUUUAUUUCUUAUCCAGAACACUUUACAAUGUAUGCAACUAAACGGUGGCCAUUAUGCAAACAAGGGAUAAAUAAUUAGGCACAGUGAAACAAAAGGGGAAGAAAACUUUGCCUGUGAGCUUAAAACCUAGAGAAAAAAAAUGCACAUUUAGACAAAAGGUUGUGCAGAGAAAUAAAAUUGUGAAGUAACACUUCAAAUUCCUGAAGUGGUCAUGUACUUGGAGUAACCCUUUAAGGGCUAUGGGUAAAGUCUCUCUUUCCCUCUCGUUUUUAUGAAAAGUCCUUUUUUUUAUGAAAGAAAAAUAAAAAAGGAGAAUGACUGCUUAGCUAUUUAGAGAGCAAUCCAUUACGGCAACUCAGCACGUUUCACAUUUCACAGGUACACACACAUAUAUAUGUAUGAGAUUGUCUCACAGAAACACUGAUUCACACACACAAACACUAACAAAUACACAUACAAAAACACAGACACUCACAGAUAUGUUCACACAUGUUCAUACAAAUUCAGACACACAGAAUCACACUCAGUCACAGAAUCAGACACACACUCAGAUCAACACACAGUCAUAGAUUCACACUGAGAUGGAGAAUAUACUACUGUUCUGCCUACCAGCCACCACACUUCAUAAAGAUAAAUAGAAAGAGCUGAGGCUGUGCACAUUGCAGCUUCAAUUGCAGUGAACCUAUUUUGGGCAUAAGCCUGGAGCUCCGUCAGCCCACAUAUCAAUUUGGCCCUGCCCCUAGCCAUCAAUCAUUAUUUUUCCUCAUCAAACAUUUAUUUUUCCGAUGCUAAAGAAAGUCAGGCAGGAUCACGAAUCAAAAAUAUUUUCAACCAUUGCACAGCUCAUUUGGUUCAUGAGUCAGCUACAUUACGGCUUGGAGUUUGGGAAUUCGACCAAUCACCUGGUCCGCCCAAAUUCGGAGGAAUUGCCGUUUGAAGCAAGUUUCCAAGUCUACUUAAUAUUAUAAAUCUUUGACACUGUGUAAAAUUUACCUCAUUCGAUUAAUUCAUUUGACAUAUUUUACAUCAAUUGCCUUUUAGAGACAUACCAUAAAUAUACCACAGUCUUAUUCUGUGUACAUAUAUUUAACAUUUGAACUAACUUUCCAUUUCACCUCACUAUUGGUUUUAAAAAAGCAUCUGCGCCAAUCUGCACCAGAUGGAAUAUAUUUGAAUAAUUCCUAGAACUAAACUAACUAAUAAUUCUGACUUCCACACUAAUGUUACAUUUCUGGUGUGUUUUGAAAGUGUGUUAGAUUGUAAAAUUACAGUGGGUUUGUUCAGGCAGUGGUUACAUUUUUAUUUGUCUUUGUUUUCAGGAAGAAGCUAUACAUCUGCUGUUCUGUAGUCUCAGCCAGAUCAGACUGGUUUCAACUGGUUCAGAGCAGUUUGUGAGUUUAACACCCGCAGGAGCUGCCUGGAAUAUCUGGAGCAGACUCUGAUGGAAACAUCAGAUGGAACUGAAUAUUUAC
rnacentral:lncRNA from 1 species